GGAUAUAGCUCAGUUGGUUUAGAGCAUCCCGACUCACUAAGUCGGGAGGGUCGUAGGUUCAAAUCCUACUAAUCAA
rnacentral:tRNA from 1 species